UCAUCUGAAGACCUGACCAGUGUGAAGUAUCUGCUUCUGUGUGACUCACUUACAUUUCCUCACAUGAGGCCCUCUUCACAGGACUGCUUGCGCAUCCUCAUGACAUGACACUGGCUUCUUCCAUAGUGAGCAAUCAAAGAGAAUGAAGAGGAAGCCACUGGUACCUUUACAUUCUAGGCUUUGUAAGUGACAGUCACCUCUGCCAUAUUCUUAUUCAUUAGAAUUGAAUUACUAAGUCCAUUUCAUAUUUCAGAGGAAGGGAAUCAAGUUCCAUUUCUUGAUGGAGGCAUGUUAAAAACUUUUGAUUAUAUAUAUUAAAACUACCCAAGGGAGAUUGAAGAAAGGUUUCUCUCACUCUAUCCUGAAGGAAUCUGCCUUCAGACACCCAUCUUCACUUGGGCAAAAAAUGUGAGAAAACAAGUUGUUUCCACAGGAAAAACUGUAAAUUAAUUUCCGUAUGGCCAUUUAGAUAAGAAAUCUACCUGGAUUCAUCUAUUCUAGUCUGUUCCUUGCUUUAGGAUGACAACUAUAAUCAUUGCCAAUAAAAAGGGGGGGGGAUGCUCUGUGUGUUUUAUUUUGCAUAUAAUUGUGGUAGCAUUAUGGAAGUAUGGGUAUUCCAGUGCAUAUUCUAAUCACAUCCUCAACAGUAGGGUGAACGUGGCCACUCAAGUCAUCUAGACAAGUGUGUUGUUCUUUAUAUUCCAUUCUAUUACAUAUCUUCCAAACCCCCGAACUUGAAUGGUCUGGAUGAUAGAUGAGACUGUGCUUCAGGCCAAGGUUGAUCGUAAGAUGCAGAAUUGCCAUCUUCAAAACGCAAAACUCAGUGAAGUAAAAUGCAAUCCUGAGAGUUUCUCAUCUGUAGUGAGGCAUAGCAGAAAAGAUGCAAUUACUCAUUUAUCUGAGAGAGGGAAACUUAAGUGGCACGCAAUCCGGAUAUCUAAAAGGAAGACAGGCUGCAAUUCCUAAUGUGGGAAAUACCAGUCCUUAGGAUACGACAGUGAGGCCACCGACAGGAAGGUGGGGGCGGCUCCCUUCAAAUAAAAAGGGUUGAAUUGUAUCUGGUUCUGGAUCUAAUUCAACUUGACUACUGAGCAGUAAGAUAAAUUGAACCCACAGAGAAAACUGAAAAUCGCAUUUUCCUGGCAAGUCUCUCAAUGGGCUUAGUGUGUUUAGAUUUAUGGGGGGUGGGGAGGGGUAAUGACUUUUUCUGCCUUGGUUUUUCACUUUUUUUUUUUUUUUCCAGGACUGAUUUUCCAUCUGGCCUAACCAGAGCCUGAGGUUACUGAAUCCAGUGGAGCCAAUAGGUUCGACUUGAGCUUGCUUAAAGCAUGCUUAGAACAGGGAAAGACAAAUUGGCUCCUUUCUGAAAGGCCUAUGGAGCAGAAGCCUGCUUCUCCCUCCCCAGACCACAGCCUUGAAAGAGAAAACAUCCUGUUCUUCCAACUCAUGAGAAGCCACUGCAGUGGAGCAAGAGGCUCGGUGGCCGUUUCCCACUCAAGAAGCUCACUGACUGGCAGCCUUAAGGGCAAGGACCUUAUCAGGCAGACCUGAUUCCCAUCCCAGGUCCUGGGGUACCAGGCAGGGUUAGAUAAGGCUGGGCUUAUCAACUCAGCUCCAACAGCCCCGGAGAAAACAAAAGAGCAGCACAAAGUUUCCACGCUUGGGAAGAAGUCAAGGUUAGCAAAGCACUAGACCCAGGUAUCUGGCAGAGGUGACAAAGGGACCUUACAACUGAAAGCAACAAGACCAGGUGGGGUCAGGGACACUCUUGGAGUGCCGGUAACCAGAGGCAGGAUAGGCUCAGGAGAGGCAGCCCUUGCCCGCAUGCCAUGUAGACUAUCCCACACAGCUGCCACCUAGAGGAGAAGGGAGACAAUAGAGCAAAGCCAGAAUUAGUUGAAUUUUAAGAUGAAAAGACUGAGAAAACACAGAGGAUUUCUAGAAAGAAUCAGGGUCGCAUGGUAUUAAGUGGAUUAUGUUGAAUUAGGAAAAAAUAAUGUUAUAUAUUUCUUGCACACACUAGUUUGUGGCUUAGGAAAAUUCAAACAUGCUUAUAAACAUGCCAAUGCCUUGCCCCGUAUGCCAUACCAUGCAGAGAGAAGGGGCUGUUUGGGGUUAGUGAGUCUCUCAGAAAUUUAAGAGAUGGCUAGAAUUGCAAGGCAUAAAGUGAUAGUACCUGAAAGUCUUCUAGAACACAGUUCAGAAAAUAUUAUUUCUUUAAAGGGCCAGAUAAUAAACAUUUUAUGCUUUUCCAACUGUAUAGUCUCUGCACCUCUUCAGCUCUGCCAUGGCAGCACAAAACAGCCAUGUACAAUACAUAAAUGAGUGGGCCGCGCUAGGUUCCAAUAA
rnacentral:lncRNA from 1 species